AAAUUGAAGAGUUUGAUCAUGGCUCAGAUUGAACGCUGGCGGCAGGCCUAACACAUGCAAGUCGAACGGUAACAGGAAGCAGCUUGCUGCUUCGCUGACGAGUGGCGGACGGGUGAGUAAUGUCUGGGAAACUGCCUGAUGGAGGGGGAUAACUACUGGAAACGGUGGCUAAUACCGCAUAACGUCGCAAGACCAAAGAGGGGGACCUUCGGGCCUCUUGCCAUCAGAUGUGCCCAGAUGGGAUUAGCUUGUUGGUGAGGUAACGGCUCACCAAGGCGACGAUCCCUAGCUGGUCUGAGAGGAUGACCAGCCACACUGGAACUGAGACACGGUCCAGACUCCUACGGGAGGCAGCAGUGGGGAAUAUUGCACAAUGGGCGCAAGCCUGAUGCAGCCAUGCCGCGUGUAUGAAGAAGGCCUUCGGGUUGUAAAGUACUUUCAGCGGGGAGGAAGGUGUUGCGGUUAAUAACCGCAGCAAUUGACGUUACCCGCAGAAGAAGCACCGGCUAACUCCGUGCCAGCAGCCGCGGUAAUACGGAGGGUGCAAG
rnacentral:rRNA from 3 species